CCUACGGUGAGCAGCAGUGAGGAAUAUUGGUCAAUGGUCGGGAGACUGAACCAGCCAAGCCGCGUGAGGGAGGAAGGUACAGAGUAUCGUAAACCUCUUUUGUCAGAGAACAAAGACUGGGACGCGUCCCCGGCUGAGAGUAUCUGAAGAAAAAGCAUCGGCUAACUCCGUGCCAGCAGCCGCGGUAAUACGGAGGAUGCAAGCGUUAUCCGGAUUUAUUGGGUUUAAAGGGUGCGCAGGCGGUCUGAUAAGUCAGCGGUAAAAGCCCGGGGCUCAACCCCGGCCUGCCGUUGAAACUGGUAGGCUCGAGAUGGAGUGAAGUAUGCGGAAUGCGCGGUGUAGCGGUGAAAUGCAUAGAGAUCGCGCAGAACUCCGAUUGCGAAGGCAGCAUGCCGGCUCCACUCUGACGCUGAGGCACGAAAGCGUGGGUAGCGAACAGGAUUAGAUACCCCUGUAGUC
rnacentral:rRNA from 1 species